rnacentral:rRNA from 1 species
UACAGAGGUCUCAAGCGUUGUUCGGAUUCAUUGGGCGUAAAGGGUGCGUAGGCGGCGCGGUAAGUCGGGUGUGAAAUCUCGGGGCUUAACUCCGAAACUGCAUUCGAUACUGCCGUGCUUGAGGACUGGAGAGGAGACUGGAAUUUACGGUGUAGCGGUGAAAUGCGUAGAUAUCGUAAGGAAGACCAGUGGCGAAGGCGGGUCUCUGGACAGUUCCUGACGCGGAGGCACGAAGGCCAGGGGAGCAAACGGG